CACACCGCCCGUCGCUACUACCGAUUGAAUGGCUCAGUGAGGCUUUCGGACUGGCCCAGAGGAGUCGGCAACGACACCUCAGGGCCGGAAAGUUAUCCAAACUCGGUCAUUUAGAGGAAGUAAAAGUCGUAACAAGGUCUCCGUUGGUGAACCAGCGGAGGGAUCAUUAUAGAGUUACAACAAACUCCAACCCAUGUGAACAUACCAUACUGUUGCCUCGGCUGGCUGUGCCUACCCUGUAGCAACCUACCCUGUAACGAGCUACCCUGUAGUGAGUUACCCUGUAGGGACCUACCCGGUGGUACGCUACAAGGCCUGCCGAAGGCCCCCGAACUCUAGUUAUCUAUUGGAAUUCUGAAUACGCAACUUAAUAAGUUAAAACUUUCAACAACGGAUCUCUUGGUUCUGGCAUCGAUGAAGAACGCAGCGAAAUGCGAUAAGUAAUGUGAAUUGCAGAAUUCAGUGAAUCAUCGAAUCUUUGAACGCACAUUGCGCCCAUUAGUAUUCUAGUGGGCAUGCCUGUUCGAGCGUCAUUUCGACCCUUAAGCCCUGUUGCUUAGUGUUGGGAGCCUACGUACCCUGUAGCUCCUCAAAGUCAGUGGCGGAGUCGGGUCACACUCUAAGCGUAGUCAUCUUUUCUCGCUUCUGUAGUUGUCCCGGUUCCUGCCGUAAAACCCCCUAUAUUUAUCUAGGUUGACCUCGGAUCAGGUAGGAAUACCCGCUGAACUUAAGCAUAUCAAUAAGCGGAGGAAAAGAAACCAACAGGGAUUGCCCUAGUAACGGCGAGUGAAGCGGCAACAGCUCAAAUUUGAAAUCUGGCUCUCGGGUCCGAAUUGUAAUUUGUAGAGGAUGCUUUUGGCGCGGUGCCUUCCGAGUUCCCUGGAACGGGACGCCUUAGAGGGUGAGAGCCCCGUACGGUUGGACACCAAGCCUCUGUAAAGCUCCUUCGACGAGUCGAGUAGUUUGGGAAUGCUGCUCUAAAUGGGAGGUAAAUUUCUUCUAAAGCUAAAUACCGGCCAGAGACCGAUAGCGCACAAGUAGAGUGAUCGAAAGAUGAAAAGUACUUUGAAAAGAGGGUUAAAUAGUACGUGAAAUUGUUGAAAGGGAAGCGUUUACGACCAGACUUUUCCCAGGCGGAUCAUCCGGUGUUCUCACCGGUGCACUUCGCCUGGUUUAGGCCAGCAUCGGUUUUCGUAGGGGGAUAAAAGCUUCGGGAAAGUAGCUCCUCCGGGAGUGUUAUAGCCCGUUGCAUAAUACCCUUAUGGGGACCGAGGAUCGCGCUCUGCAAGGAUGCUGGCAUAAUGGUCGUCAACGACCCGUCUUGAAACACGGACCAAGGAGUCGAACAUUUGUGCGAGUGUUUGGGUGUUAAACCCUCACGCGUAAUGAAAGUGAACGGAGGUGAGAGCCCUUACGGGUGCAUCAUCGACCGAUCCUGAUGUCUUCGGAUGGAUUUGAGUAAGAGCAUAACUGUUCGGACCCGAAAGAUGGUGAACUAUGCGUGGAUAGGGUGAAGCCAGAGGAAACUCUGGUGGAGGCUCGCAGCGGUUCUGACGUGCAAAUCGAUCGUCAAAUCUGCGCAUGGGGGCGAAAGACUAAUCGAACCAUUGAGAAACCAGCGGUAAAAUUUUAUUUACUAGGUGGUUAAGAGGCCCUCCGAGAGGGAGGGCCUAGGUCUCACCUACCCUGUAGCAGGUUACCCUGUAGUAAGUUACCCUGUAACGACCUACCCUGUAGCAGGUUACCCGGUAGGCGACCGACACCGCUAAAUUGCGGGGACAUCCUAUUUAAGGCCACAGGCUACCGCCGGGCGCUGAAAAGCGUGCUGGCAACCGAGAAUAGCGCUCUCGGGUACGGUAAUAACGCCUGUGGUAGCGGACGACCUGCAGCCAACCCCGUCUCCAGGGGAGAGUUCACUGACUAGACAGCGGUGGGUCAGCCCCUGUGGCUGGCCUAAGACAUAGUCGAUCCGGGCCCUGAAAAGGGAUCCCUAAUACGAAAAUAGCGAG
rnacentral:rRNA from 1 species